rnacentral:snRNA from 1 species
AAACAGCUUGAGGAUGGUCGCAC